AAUGAUGAUAAUGUGAACAUGGUUAUUGACAUUGAUAGAAGAAUUGGUAAUGUGAAUGUGAAUAGUAGUAGGAAGAGGGGAACUAGGGUUUUUGAGGAUGGUGGCAAAACUGAUCCAGAGGCUCAGGAUUUGAACGUUAGCUCAGAGAGGAAUGGGGUUAAGGUGUGGUUGAACUAGUUGGGACUUGGACAGUAUGCAUCUUUGUUUGAGAUUCAUGAAGUCGAUGAUGAGGUUUUGCCAAUGCUGACAUUGGAGGAUCUUAAGGAUAUGGGAAUCAGUGCAGUUGGAUCGCGAAGGAAAAUGAUUUUGCUGAUUUUGGGUUCUUUUUGUAGUACAGAUUCAAUUCUGAUGUGCUAGCAUGGUGUUUUGUAGUGUAUAGUUUAGAAACUGUUGAUAACAUCUUUGUUAAUUUGGUUCUACACAGGCCAGAACUUUUAGAACCUGCAAAAUAGAUAUGCAUCAUUCAAGAAAAUGAAAUGCAGUUACUUUUCUAGUUUUCGUAAUAAACUUUGAUGUCCAAUCUUGAUCUUGAAAUCUUAUUUAAGCAAAUAUUUGUUUGUUGAAUGUGUGUUGUUGUUACUUCUGAAACGACAUUGGAAUGAGCCAUUGGAAUCCUUUACUUUCUUGAGUACCUGCAGCAUUAUGAAUUGUAUCAAUCUAUUGUAGCGUGAGGAGCUCUAGAGAAUAUUUUCUUUGUGAUAAGGUAAAACAAUUUUAUUGAUGAUGGGAAUGAGCCGUACAGAACAUUCCCGUUGGUCAUUAUCUAAUUUCUGCUUAGUGUUGAUUCAGUAGCCAAUUCUGUACAUGAUGCUGUAGAAUUUUGGUUAUUGACAUGCUUGCUACAGUAUCAGGUCUAUAUCAUUUGUGAGAAAAUAAUACUCUGAGAAUGUUCUCAUAAUUCGUUUGUAGUUCCUGUGAUCUUAUGUUUAUGUAUGUCCUUGUAUAUAUAUAUAUAUAUAUAUAUCAACUGUGUGGUACUGUAAGUACUUUUAACUUUUUUGCUUAGUUUUAGGAGUUGGCAAUCGUGAUGUGAAUUCUAAGCUUCACGCUUAAUGUCUCAUAUCUUUCUUGCUUAAAUGAAACUAUAGUGGGAUACCUCCACAUUGACAUGUAGAAAUAUUGCUUUGGAAAUUUUUGGUAGAAUGAUGAACCACACAGAAGAACACAGAGAGACAUAUUUUAGUUAGAGAGCGACCCUGCAAAGCACUUUGAGUUGCAUAUAUUGAUGUCUGAAUUGCUUCUUUAGAAAAUGAGCUUAGGUCUGCCUCCUGAUCAAGAUGGUCAUUUGUUAAAUAUCAAAACAGCUGUCUUGUCAUCACCAAGCAGUACAGGACAACAGGAUGGUGAAGUGAAUACCUUUGUCCCUUUUCCCUCGGAAUGACAACCACAAGUGAACAGAUGCCUAUGCGAAGACGGGCCUGUCCUCUCCAAAGUUAAGAUGUUUGCCAAACAUUUUAUCUCUCGAUACGGAUUUAGGAUUUCAGGUCAGUGAAUGCAGAUUACAGUUGCAUCCACCACAUAUCUGUGACAUUGACAGUUGUUGCAAACUUAGUAUAACUACAUAUUUCUGAAAAUUUACUGCAGUUGUGACACAUACAGAGGCGAACACAAACACACCCACUUCAUCUUUCUUGCAUUCUUCCCUGCCUGCCCCUCCUCCCAGAGCUCCUUAGAUGAAUUUCAUUUUAGGGGCAGAAAUUUUGGUAGGAUAUCUCUCCUUUCUCUUUCAUUGGUUUUUGACAGGCUUUGGGAGAGAGGAUUUUGUAGGUUAGGGUGAUAAAUAUCAGCAAAAGUGAGCUUCUCUGAUUGGUAAUUGAUUAUUCUAUAAUCAAUACCUGGUCCAACAUGCAAUCUUGGGCACUCAUCAAGAAUAUUUCAUUCAAGAAAAAUCUGAACUUUUGAGAGUUCUGAUUUUCACAUAUAUGGAUUUUCAGAAAGUUUGGACUCUUAUUCAAACGAAUGAAUUGAUUGUUUAGAUGCCACUUUGUUUUGUUAUACUUCACCUCAUCUUGAAUUUGCUUCUUGAUGUUCUGGAUCAGCAGGUCCACCAAAAAUAUGCAGAACCAUGUUUAUCUUUCUAUGUUCAUAUCCCAAUUCAACAUUUCUAUAUUCAUAUCCCAAUUCAAGAGUUACAGAGUCAAGUUAGUGAAAAGAAUUGGUUACUGGUUAGUUGCUUAUUACAAUGCCAGCAAUUGCGUUUUCUAAAAUUUUUACCACUGCGUUUGCUAUUACCUUUUUGUUUGUAUUCUUUUUUGAUCUGGUAACUUGUUUUUGUAUUCUUUUGCUUUACUUAUUACAUACUCUGUGACUAAUUGUUGCUUAUUCUUCAGGUUUGGAACACAAGUAGUGGAAGUCUAUUUGGUCAGUGGAGAACGAAGAAUUCUGGAGACGUUUUUUCUUACAUGGCGUGUUGUAUCCUUGAAAAGAAGAAAAGAACAAGGUCUAUUAGUAGCUCUUGGCUCAGAUAAUGAAAAUGUUUUAGCAGUCGACAUUUCCACUGGAUUUGUAAGGAGGAGAAAAGAUGGAGCCCUUCCUAGCGGAGCUGGAAGCCUUUUUUUUGUGGGCAAAGGUCGUAGGAUUCAUGUUGUUGCUGUGAAUGGUUUAGUAUUUGACAUGAACUCCAAAUUAUUCUCAUUGUGAAGACGAGAAAAUUAUAGUUGUAGCUAGUGAUAAGUUGCGAUUUCUAAGUUCAGAAAGUGGGAAAGAGUUGCUGCAGUUUUCUCCUGAUUCAGCUUCAAAUAUCAAUUUCAAAGAGGCUGAUAGAAAAGGGAAUCAAAUGUUGGAACUUAAUAUCCAACAACAACCAUCAUGUCUUUUGGGAGAAUUUGGUGUCUGGGCUUCAAGAGCAUUUUCUGAAGAUGACAUUUGGCCGUACCAGAUCUCUUCUCUUCAGGUUUUUUUUUUUCUCUCUAAACUGGUAGAUAGUCCCAAAAAAAAGAAAACUACCUCAAACAGUUUGAUAACGAUGCUGUCAUUCCCGCUGUUUUUGAAAAUUACCACACGUUCUCUGAGGUUCCAAAUACACUUAACAAUUUGGGAAGUCCAUCUUACACUUCCAGAGACAGGUUUUGCCACACAUAUGGAAGGAUUGAGACUGUAGCAAGAGAAGCUUUUUUACCAACUAUAUUCCAUUUUUACUAAUUAAUUGCUUAUGGCUCUACUGAGUCCUUAGAGUUUACAUCAGUAGACAUUUCAAGUCGCGGGAAUGAUAUCAUCAUUGCAGCAGGAGAGCAGGCCGAGAAAGAGGUUGCUACAGUUCAAGAAAAUGGUCAUGUCAAAAAAGGUAUUGUUGACAGCAGUUUAUCACACACUCCCAUUAUCCAUUUUCUGGUGGUUGGAGGUUCGGGAGGAGGAUGGCGAAUGAUAAUUGUAAAGAAUAAAAUGAACGAAUGUAUACCGUUCCACAAAUGUGUUUGAAUUCAAGAACCCAAUUCAGAUU